GCGCCUAGUUCCUAUAACCAGUUCUGAUUGCAAUGCAGAUCCUGGAGGAGCUGUCGUGCAAAAGUAAAAGCUGAGUAAAUCCAGAUGGGUCUCUUUAAAUUGAGGCUUGUCUCUACAACUUUGCAACACAU